rnacentral:rRNA from 1 species
GCAAGGGCGUCUGGGGGAUGCCUUGGCGCACACAGGCGAUGAAGGACGUAGCACGCUGCGAUAAGCUGCGGGGAGGGGCGAGCACCCUCUGAUCCGCAGAUUUCCGAAUGGGGAAACCCAAUCCGCAAGGAUUAUCCAUUCCUGAAUCCAUAGGGAAUGGAGGCGAACCCGGGGAACUGAAACAUCUCAGUACCCGGAGGAAAGGACAUCAAUUGAGACUCCGCUAGUAGUGGCGAGCGAACGCGGACCAGGCCAGUGACGCAUCCGUCAGAACCGGAACCGUCUGGAAAGGCGGGCCAGAGAGGGUGAUGGCCCCGUACGGGUAGAAAGCGGAUGCGUCCUCGAGUAGGGCGGGACACGAGGAAUCCUGUCUGAAGAUGGGGGGACCACCCUCCAAGCCUAAGUACUCCUCGGUGACCGAUAGUGCACGAGUACCGUGAGGGAAAGGUGAAAAGCACCCCGAUGAGGGGAGUGAAAGAGAACCUGAAACCGAAUGCCUACAAGCAGUGGGAGCCUCCAGACUCUUCGGAGUCUGCGGGGUGACCGCGUACCUUUUGUAUAAUGGGUCAGCGAGUUCGUCUGUGUAGCGAGCUUAAGCCGGAAGGCGGAGGCGCAGCGAAAGCGAGUCUGAAGAGGGCGACUGAGUUACACGGAUGAGACCCGAAACCGAGUGAUCUAGCCAUGGCCAGGCUGAAGGUGGGGUAACACCCACUGGAGGGCCGAACCGGUGACUGUUGAAAAAGUGUCGGAUGAGCUGUGGCUAGGGGUGAAAGGCCAAUCAAACUCGGAAAUAGCUGGUUCUCCGCGAAAACUAUUUAGGUAGUACGUCGCGUGAACGCCGCCGGGGGUAGAGCACUGGAUGGGCUAGGGGGGCGCGAGCCUUACCAAACCUAACCAAACUCCGAAUACCGGCGAGCGCUGCGCGGCAGACAGACCAUGGGUGCUAAGGUCCGUGGUCGAGAGGGAAACAGCCCAGACCGCCAGCUAAGGUCCCCAAGUCGUGGCUAAGUGGGAAAGGAUGUGGGAAGGCCAAGACAACCAGGAGGUUGGCUUAGAAGCAGCCAUCCUUUAAAGAAAGCGUAACAGCUCACUGGUCUAGAUACUAAGCCGUCCUGCGCCGAAAAUGUAACGGGGCUCAAGCCAUGCACCGAAGCUGCGGGUUCGUCUUCGGACGAGCGGUAGCGGAGCGUUCCGUACGCCUGCGAAGGGAGUCCGAGAGGUCUCCUGGAGGCAUCGGAAGCGAGAAUGCUGACACGAGUAGCGACAAAGAGUGUGAGAAACACUCUCGCCGAAAGUCCAAGGGUUCCUGCGCAAGGUUAAUCCGCGCAGGGUGAGCCGGCCCCUAAGGCGAGGGCGAAAGCCGUAGCCGAUGGGAACCAGGUUAAUAGUCCUGGGCCUGCCGGGAGUGACGGAUGCCGUAAGUCGUGACCGCUGAUUGGAUUGCGGUUGCGGCGAAGGCGUUCCAGGAAACAACCCCGGCGUAUAGACCGUACCCCAAACCGACACAGGUGGACUGGUAGAGCAUACCUAGGCGCUUGAGAGAACGAUGUUGAAGGAACUAGGCAAAAUGCCCUCGUAACUUCGGGAGAAGAGGGCCCUUUGCCCGGGCAACCGGGCCGAGGGGGCACAGAGCAGGGGGUAGCGACUGUUUAUUAAAAACACAGGGCUCUGCGAAGUGGAAACACGACGUAUAGGGUCUGACGCCUGCCCGGUGCCGGAAGGUUAAGAGGAGGGGUGCAAGCCCUGAAUCGAAGCCCCGGUAAACGGCGGCCGUAACUAUAACGGUCCUAAGGUAGCGAAAUUCCUUGUCGGGUAAGUUCCGACCUGCACGAAUGGCGUAACGACUUCCCCGCUGUCUCCAACAUCGACUCAGCGAAACUGAAUUCUCCGUGAAGAUGCGGAGUACCCGCGGUUAGACGGAAAGACCCCGUGCACCUUUACUACAGCUUUGCAGUGGUAUUAGGGUCGGCAUGUGUAGGAUAGGCGGGAGCCUAUGAAGCGGUGGCGCCAGCCAUCGCGGAGGCAGCCUUGAAAUACCGCCCUUGUCGGCUCUGAUAUCUAACCGAGGCCCUUAAGCAGGGUCCGGGACCCUGCAUGGCGGGUAGUUUGACUGGGGCGGUCGCCUCCCAAAGAGUAACGGAGGCGCGCGAUGGUGGGCUCAAGCUGGUCGGAAAUCAGCUGUUGAGUGCAAUGGCACAAGCCCGCCUGACUGCGAGAGCGACGGCUCGAGCAGAGACGAAAGUCGGUCAUAGUGAUCCGGUGGUUCUGCAUGGAAGGGCCAUCGCUCAACGGAUAAAAGGUACGCCGGGGAUAACAGGCUGAUCUCCCCCAAGAGUCCACAUCGACGGGGAGGUUUGGCACCUCGAUGUCGGCUCAUCACAUCCUGGGGCUGGAGCAGGUCCCAAGGGUUCGGCUGUUCGCCGAUUAAAGUGGUACGUGAGCUGGGUUUAGAACGUCGUGAGACAGUUCGGUCCCUAUCUGCCGUGGGUGUUGGAGAAUUGAGAGGAGCUGCCCCUAGUACGAGAGGACCGGGGUGGACGUACCUCUGGUGUACCGGUUGUGGCGCCAGCCGCAGCGCCGGGUAGCUAAGUACGGACGGGAUAACCGCUGAAGGCAUCUAAGCGGGAAGCCCCCCUCGAAACCAGUUCUCCCUCGAGAGCCGUGGAAGACCACCACGUUGAUAGGCCGGGUGUGGAAGUGCGGCAACGCAUGCAGCUAACCGGUCCUAAUCGCUCGAUCGGCUUGAGC